rnacentral:tRNA from 1 species
GACGGUCUGUAAAACCGUUCCUUCGGGUUCGGUGGUUCGAAUCCACUCUCCUCCA